AGCCUCCCACUCUUCUUCAAACCUUGCCUGGAAGCUCUGCAGAGUUAAAUAUAUAACAAUACAAAAAGAACAAAAUCCUAACCAUGCAUAAAAUUGGGUCAAUCCAACUGCUGAAGGUUUAUGCUUGCUGCAUCUCCUUGACCUAAACCUGUAAUUCGGUUUGAGAGUUGAAAACAAAGUUGUUCAAGUAUUGACACAGUAAUUCAGUAAAUAAAACAAA